rnacentral:rRNA from 1 species
AUUGAACGCUGGCGGCAGGCCUAACACAUGCAAGUCGAGCGGAGCGGCGGACGGGUGAGUAAUACCUAGCAAUCUGCCUGGUAGUGGGGGCUAACGUUCGGAAACGGACGCUAAUACCGCAUACUAUCAGCUGAGCCUAGGUCGGAUUAGCUAGUUGGGGCGGUGAUGGCUCACCAAGGCUACGAUCCGUAACUGGUCUGAGAGGAUGAUCAGUCACACUGGAACUGGGAGACGGGCCAGACUCCUACGGGAGGCAGCAGUGGGGAAUAUUGGACAAGGGGCGAAAGCUUGAUCCAGCCAUGCCGCGUGGGUGAAGAAGGUCUUCGGAUUGUAAAGCACUGUAAGUUGGGAGGCGUUACCGACAGAAGAAGCACCGGCUAACACUGUGCCAGCAGCCGCGGUAAUAC